UCUCACUUAAAAUUAUUAAUUAAUUCAAGUAAGCAAAUCUGAAAAAGAAAAUUCUGGAUAAUUAAUAAUACUGUUAAAAUAAACUAAUACCUAUAAAUACCCAUGUACUUAAAAGCUUUUAGUAUCAACCAGAAAUCAAAGUUUGAGUUUCUCAAUUAGUCUAUCUUACUUCUUCCUCAAAUAUUUAAACAAAUUAUUUUAUUCAGCUAGCCUAUCUUUUUAUUUUUUCAAACAAAAACAAAUCAAGCCUAAUUGAUGAUUUUGUCAUUUGUAGGUUGAUUUGUGCAAUUAAGUUUUUCUUCAAUUGAAUUUGUAACAGCCCCGGAAAUUUAAAAUGAAAUGUGUAUUAAAAAUAUCAAAUGCGGAAGCGAAGUCAAAAAAAAUUCGAUUAACAUCCCUUACACUAAAACCAAAAACGUGCUCACAAAAUAUAAAAGAUCAAACUAACUAGAGGAGAAACUCGAAAGUAAAAGCUACGAAUAUGACUAUGGAGUCUUUAGGCGUCCCCUUCGUCGUCCUCCUGCGGAACGGGCUCGGGAACAAUGUCUUCCUGAUCUGAAAUGAUUAAAUAAGGAAUGAGCUACACUAGCCCAGUAAAGACAUCACGAUAUCUCACCGUCACGG
rnacentral:lncRNA from 1 species